UCAAGCUGCUGCGUUGUCACCGGAGCUGCCACUGCUCUGUUCUCUUGCUUAUUUGUAAGUACAGUAAGCUGUUCUUCGUCCCGAACCUCUAUAGUUGCUAUUCUGUUAUAUGUUUCUAAGGUUCUUGCAACAUUAAUGCUUUAGGUUUGAGUUUGGUUCUUACGUGCCGUGAUUAAAGUUGUUGUGGUUGCGGCUGUCGCGGAUUGCGCACUAAGAGGGAAGGUUUCCUUGAAGCAUUUGGUUUUUGGGUCUCAGCUUGUUGAGAAAUUAUCGGCCUUUUUUUGCAUCAAUGUAAUGCCAUUUUAUUGAGGAGAAUAAAGGAAUUACCGGUCUUCUUUUGCAUCAAUGCAAUACCAUUGAGGGAAAUAAAGGUCAGUUUAGUUUCUCGGUGUGGCAAUUCUAUACCUUGUCGCAUUACAUGGAUAGCGGAUGAUGAAGGUUAUUUAACAAGGAGAUGGUCUGAAUUUGCACAAAUUCUAAAUGUUUCAAACUUAUGAUGUUGUUUCAGUUGGUUGUCGUUAUGAGAAUAACUCUAAUCUAUAUGUGUCUAAGGACUAGAAUAGAUUAAAUAUUAUUUAAGUAAUUUAGUUCUAAUAUUAGUAUUUGAUUAAAUUAGUUUUAGAGAAAUUUAAAUUG